rnacentral:rRNA from 1 species
UACGUAGGGGGCAAGCGUUAUCCGGAUUUACUGGGUGUAAAGGGAGCGUAGACGGCGAAGCAAGUCUGAAGUGAAAACCCGGGGCUCAACCCUGGGACUGCUUUGGAAACUGUUUUGCUAGAGUGUCGGAGAGGUAAGUGGAAUUCCUAGUGUAGCGGUGAAAUGCGUAGAUAUUAGGAGGAACACCAGUGGCGAAGGCGGCUUACUGGACGAUAACUGACGUUGAGGCUCGAAAGCGUGGGGAGCAAACAGG